rnacentral:misc_RNA from 1 species
GAAUUAGCAAGAAACAGAGGAAAUAGAAUAAAAAGAGGGUGAAAAGCAAAGGAAAGAACACACAGAAUUCUAGAGAGGAAAUAUUAUUAAGAUUCAUUGAAUGCAUACUUAGGACAGCGUGGUCCUUUUUCUCCGCAAUUAACAAUGAUACUAACACUAGCUAACUAGUUAACAGGUUGUCUAAUGCAUUUGACAUGUGGCACAAGUCCUACUCUUGAAGA